rnacentral:rRNA from 1 species
UACGGAGGGGACUAGCGUUGUUCGGAAUUACUGGGCGUAAAGCGCACGUAGGCGGAUUUGUAAGUCAGGGGUGAAAUCCCGGGGCUCAACCUCGGAACUGCCUUUGAUACUGCAAAUCUCGAGUCCGGAAGAGGUGAGUGGAAUUCCUAGUGUAGAGGUGAAAUUCGUAGAUAUUCGGAGGAACACCAGUGGCGAAGGCGGCUCGCUGGCUCGAUACUGACGCUGAGGUGCGAAAGCUAGGGGAGCGAACGGG